rnacentral:rRNA from 1 species
AUCACUGGUGUUCGGGUUGUCAUGCCAAUGGCACUGCCCGGUAGCUAAAUGCGGAAGAGAUAAGUGCUGAAAGCAUCUAAGCACGAAACUUGCCCCGAGAUGAGUUCUCCCUGACCCUUUAAGGGUCCUGAAGGAACGUUGAAGACGACGACGUUGAUAGGCCGGGUGUGUAAGCGCAGCGAUGUGUUGAGCUAACCGGUACUAAUGAACCGUGAGGCUUAACCUUACAACGCCGAAG